rnacentral:lncRNA from 1 species
CUUAGUUCCUAUUUUGAUCAAUUAAUUGUUUACUCAAAAGUGCACCUUUUAUGUAGCCAACUAUGUUGAACUGAGUUUAUGUAUAAACUUUGCUGUUGAAAAUUAUGUUUAGAAUUUAACAACUGAGUUUAUUGGUUGAACAAGCAACUUUUGGUCUUUUAUCAGGUUGAGACACUAUCCUUAGAUGGAAAAAAUAAUGAAUAUGUUGAAUAUCUUAUGCCAAGUGAGGUGGAGAAAGUUAAUUUGACAUUUUAUGCAAAUUCAAGGGAGAAGGAUCAUUGAUGUCCUAAAUAUCCAAUCUGAUGUUCCUCCUUUCAACUCAUAUUCAAAUAAAUUGAGACAUACCAUUCAUUUUGCCACCAAUAAAUCAAAUUCUAGAGGUAAGGAGAGAAAUUGCUCUUUUGGAUUGAAGAAAAAAUAUCGACAUUUCUAUUGUACUAAUAAUAGAAAGUUAACAUAGCCCAAGCUCACGUUUGCAAGGUGAUCUCUGCAAAUUGAAAUGAGUCAUAGUUCUAUUAUUGAGUUUUAUUUUCAACCCUUGCAUCAAAUUAUGAGUUUGUUGGAAUGUAAUAGAGAUUGAUAUAGUACUUUUUUAAAAUUGUAAUAUGGAUAUAUUUAGAAUGAGAUAAAUAUAUAAAAAUCGUGUGGAUAUAUUGCUCUUGUUUGGUAGGUAUUAAAAUUAAUUCAGGUCAAAUUCAAUAAUUGCAACGACAACGAGGACGAGCGAGGUAUGAAUUGUUU